CAGUCGCCGCGGGAAUACGUAGGGUGCGAGCGUUAAUCGGAAUUACUGGGCGUAAAGCGUGCGCAGGCGGUUGUGUAGACAGGUGUGAAAUCCCCGGGCUUAACCUGGGAACUGCGCUUGUGACUGCACAGCUAGAGUAUGGCAGAGGGGGGUGGAAUUCCACGUGUAGCAGUGAAAUGCGUAGAGAUGUGGAGGAACACCGAUGGCGAAGGCAGCCCCCUGGGCCAAUACUGACGCUCAUGCACGAAAGCGUGGGGAGCAAACAGGAUUAGAGACCCCAGUAGUCCCUGUCUCUUAUACC
rnacentral:rRNA from 1 species